ensembl:lncRNA
CGCACUGUCAGCAGCCCGAGUACUUUGAGGUUGCUCUAAAGCGGAAAGGUGGAAUAAACGAGUCAGGAGCAGAUUUUCUUAAUUGAACAAAGUUCUCUAUUGAGGUAUUUCUUCUUAAACACUAUCAAGGAUGAUCUCCCAAGGAAAACACAAAUCUUCUUUACAAGAACAAUGAACAUAAGGAGUAUCUUUAAACUAUAACAUAAAUCACCGGUGUGUCACUGCUCAACGACCCGUCCAUGGAGAGCUCCCUCUGGGUGGUGGUCCGGAUUUGUGGUGGCCAUUCCCAAGAGGUAGUUUGUCCCCUUCUUCUCCCUUCCGAAAGGUACGUCCUCUCCUUUGGAGAAGCAAACACUAUUUUCUUUCUCCCCUCUCUGCCGGUUCCCUCCUCUUUCUUGUAGUGGAAAGAAAAUAGCUCAUUAGUACCGUUACUGUGUUGCCUAAUUGCCUCUGAUCACCUUGACUCACAUGCCGGGCUGGGCUACUGUCCAUGGGAACAGCCUGCCCUCUGGUGGUCCUUCCACAGCUCUCACUACAGUACAUUUUAAUAGAAAGUUAGCAAAAGUAGAUAAGAUCUUACUACUAUGGAAAGGUAAAUACCUGUCUAUUUGUCUAAAAACCUCCCAGAUUAAUUAUUUAGUCUUAUCCCAGUUUCGUUAUUUACUUAUGGCCCUGCCUACACUGAACGACCUUUCAAAAAAAAAAAGAGCAAAAAAAAAAGCCAGACAAAAUUAAACGGGCUUAAUUAUAUAAUGAAUAUGAAUUCGGAGGGCCAAAAUUAUGCAAAUAUUGAACCUCUCACUAAAGGCUUCAUACAAAAGUUAUACUUAAGUCUGAACUGGUUUAAAAAUCAAAUCAAAUUUUAUUGGUCACACACAUGGCUAGCAGAUGUUAAUGAGAGUGUAGUGAAAUGCUUGUGCUUCUAGUUCCGACAAUGCAGUAAUAUCUAACAAGUAAUUUAACAAUUUCACAACAACGACCUUAUACACACAAGUGUAAAGGAAUGAAUAAGAAUAUGUACUUUGGCAGACCAGGGGGUUUGGUCAAGACGUUUACACAAAUCAGACACGGACAGAGUAGGAUUAGCUUGGUUUCAAGGGUGUUUAUUUAAAUAAUAAAUCAAAAAGAAAAGGAUAGGUCUCCCACAUGAGACCCUCUCUGGGAUACCGUCUUCUGGGCUCCGGGUCUUGUUGUAUCCUGUCGG